rnacentral:rRNA from 1 species
UACAACAUAGCGUUAAUGCACCGGACCCCAUUAGAGAUUUGCAAUUAAGUGCACUCAAGAUAGAGUAGUACUGGGAUGUGUGACCGCCUGGGAAGUUCUAGUGUUUUAC